AGCCUUUAGCCUACCAAGUAUUAAAGGUCCCGCCUGCCCAGUGAGACUCACCACCUUCAACGGCCGCGGUAUCCUAACCGUGCAAAGGUAGCGUAAUCAUUUGUCUCUUAAAUAGAGACCGGUAUGAAUGGCUAUAUGAGGGCCCGACUGUCUCUUGUGGCAAACCAAUGAAACUGAUCCCCCAGUACAAAAGCUGGUAUACACCCAUAAGACGAGAAGACCCCGUGGAGCUUACAAACCAAUGUCACUACCGACACUCAACCCGCCCAACAGGGCAUCACACAGCUCGCCAUAGUGCCAGUUUUUAGUUGGGGCGACUAAGGAACAAAACAAAACUUCCAUGAAACAGGACUAACCCCCGCCCCAGGCUAACCCGCCCACGGCACAUAAACUAAUGAUCCAGUAAUACUGAUCAACGAACCAAGUUACCCCGGGGAUAACAGCGCCAUCCUCUUUAAGAGUUCUUAUCGCCAAGAGGGUUUACGACCUCGAUGUUGGAUCAGGACACCCAGGUGGUGCAGCCGCUACCAAAGGCUCGUUUGUUCAACGACUAAUGUCCUA
rnacentral:rRNA from 1 species